GGCAUAGUCAGCUAAUGAAGCUUUCGGGCCCAUACCCCGAACAUGAAGGGUAAUACCAUCCUCUGCCA
rnacentral:tRNA from 1 species